CUUCGACUGUUUAACAAAUUUAGUAUUGGGGUAGGAGUCAACCACUGUCAGCUCAUUCUAUAAAUAGGGAACAAUAUCAUUGUUAGACGUAUUAUCUGAACUCCGAUAAAGUCUUGACUCGUAACAGUUUGGCUGGAGAAGUACCAUUCUUUGAGGUCUCUAGAGCACAUCUUAUAUUGCCGCUAAACUUUUCUCAUUCAAACGGAAGCAGGUAGAAGAAGAAAUCACUUCCAAAGAUUUUUUUUGCAACAUAAAUCAAGUCAUGCAACCCAACAUUUUAAAUACUUUUAGUUGGAGAUUUGAGAUAUAUUAUAACUUUCCUUCAAAGAAUUCAAGAUAUAAAUAUUUAAAGAUGGCGCAGGCUAUAUCAAAGGUUUUUACCAUACACUUGGAGAUAUACUGAAACUUCCAACUAAAGAAUUGAAGGUUAUAUCAAUUUGAAGAUUUCAAGACUAUUAUGGGGGCUUCUUAUUGGCUUUCAAUUGAAGACUUGGUGCUCGGAAGAAUUUAACUUGCAGAUUUCAACUUGAAGGCAUGGAAGACUUGAAGGCUUCUACUUGAAGACUUGACAGAUUUGAAGACUUCAACUUGAAGACUUAGUGGAUUUGAAGACUUUAACUUGAUGAUUCAACUUGAAAAUUUUGCAGCCUGCUAAAGACUAUAAUUGUCUCGAAGAUACCAAUCUCGGUGAAGAGGAUCAAGUCAUUAUGCAGUUUAUAAUAAGUGAGUUAUUUUUAAUACUUUAUGGAUUUGAAGACUUGGCGGACUUGAAUAUUGUAACUUUAAGACCUAGCGGGCUUGGAUACUUCAAAUUGAUGAUGUAAUAGACUUGAUAAAUUCAACUUGACUUAGAAUUGGAGCCUUCAACUUUGAAUAUUAAGCCUCUUAUUAAAGAAAUGACAAUC